GGCGCUGUGGCUUAGUUGGUCAAAGCGCCUGUUUAGUAAACAGGAGAUCCUGGGUUCAAAUCCCAGCAGUGCCU
rnacentral:tRNA from 2 species